AAGAUUAUGCUUUCGGGGAUCGUUUCUAUAGUUUGUAACUGAGAAAUGCGUUUUGAAAGCGUUUUGCCUCGCUACCCACGACGACGAGGUCAAGCAUCUCCUGUGCGCGAUGUGGGUGGAGAAUAUUGAUUUUUUUCAGCGGUUUUCUAUCAUUGAUGACCGUUCCGCUUCUGUAAAAGAAUGCGGAAGAAUGGGAUGCGUCCUGAGUGGU